AGUCAUAACUGCUAUUCCCUAUAAAUAGUGAUUGUGAUGAGCGGUGCGGGUGUGCGCCAACACAUCCGCAUCGCGCU
rnacentral:antisense_RNA from 1 species